rnacentral:rRNA from 1 species
AACUUAAAUGAAUGACGGGACCCGCACAAGCGGUGGAUGAUGUGGUUUAAUUCGAUGCAACGCGAAAACCUUACCCACCUUUGACAUGUACGGAAUCCUUUAGAGAUAGAGGAGUGCUCGAAAGAGAGCCGUAACACAGGUGCUGCAUGGCUGUCGUCAGCUCGUGUCGUGAGAUGUUGGGUUAAAGUCCCGCAACGAGCGCAACCCUUGUCAUUAGUUGCUACGAAAGGGCACUCUAAUGAGACUGCCGGUGACAAACCGGAGGAAGGUGGGGAUGACGUCAAGUCCUCAUGGCCCUUAUAGGUGGGGCUACACACGUCAUACAAUGGCUGGUACAAAGGGUUGCCAACCCGCGAGGGGGAGCCAAUCCCAUAAAGCCAGUCGUAGCCCGGAUCGCAGUCUGCAACUCGACUGCGUGAAGUCGGAAUCGCUAGUAAUCGUGGAUCAGAAUGUCACGGUGAAUACGUUCCCGGGUCUU